CUCAUCAGCAGGAAUAGUCACAGGCUGUAACUGUGAUCAUCUCCCUGGAUGGAGAGGUGAGUUCCCAGAGAACAGGGCUUCACACCUUGACAGAUCGUGCAGGAGAGACCCCUAGUGGGCAGAUGUGUCUCUCACUGGAGCACGGAACAGUGCUCAC
rnacentral:lncRNA from 1 species